rnacentral:misc_RNA from 1 species
AACACUGUUAACCUGCGGUACCUGCGGAAGGAUCAUUACCGAGUGUGGUCCCAUAAGGGGCGCCUCCCGUCCUUUGCAGGGCCUUUAGGGGCUUUUUGACUUUGCUUCGGCGGGCUUGCCCCGCCGGAACACCCUCAAGGAAAUCUUUAUGAACCGUUUGUCUGAGUUGCUUGCGAAUAAAAACAAAACUUUCAACAAUGGAUCU